CCUACGGGGUGCAGCAGUGGGGAAUAUUGGACAAUGGGCGAAAGCCUGAUCCAGCCAUGCCGCGUGUGUGAAGAAGGCCUUCGGGUUGUAAAGCACUUUCAGUGGGGAAGAAAGCCUUGGGGCUAAUACCCUCGAGGAAGGACAUCACCCACAGAAGAAGCACCGGCUAACUCCGUGCCAGCAGCCGCGGUAAUACGGAGGGUGCGAGCGUUAAUCGGAAUUACUGGGCGUAAAGCGCGCGUAGGCGGUCUGAUAAGCCGGUUGUGAAAGCCCCGGGCUCAACCUGGGAACGGCAUCCGGAACUGUCAGGCUAGAGUGCAGGAGAGGAAGGUAGAAUUCCCGGUGUAGCGGUGAAAUGCGUAGAGAUCGGGAGGAAUACCAGUGGCGAAGGCGGCCUUCUGGACUGACACUGACGCUGAGGUGCGAAAGCGUGGGUAGCAAACAGGAUUAGCUACCCGAGUAGUC
rnacentral:rRNA from 1 species